CGUAAUAACAGAAGCUAACCAGGAUUCCCUUAGUAACGGCGAGUGAACUGGGAUACCAACAAUAUAUAUAUACGCUUCACUGCGUGUAUAUCUUUAGCCCGUCGAUACUAUCCUAGCGUAUGACUUAUACUGUCUCGGCAGUUGGUCACCAAAUACGCGGGAAUUGUAGCAUCGUAACACAUAUAUACACUAUAAGCAGCGCACACGUAUAUAUACACACACACAUAUACACGUAUACCGGCCUUGCAAACACACAGCGCUCUCGCGUUGGAAAGCAAGUUAUAUAUCUUCGGAUAUGCCAUAGAGUGUGACAGCCACGUUUGGAACACCCUUAUACCGGUACACAUAUACACUGCGCAUAUACGCUUAGCACGCUAUAUAUAACCUGAGUCGAGUUAUUU
rnacentral:rRNA from 1 species